rnacentral:rRNA from 1 species
UACGUAGGGUCCGAGCGUUGUCCGGAAUUACUGGGCGUAAAGAGCUCGUAGGUGGUUUGUCGCGUUGUUCGUGAAAACUCACAGCUCAACUGUGGGCGUGCGGGCGAUACGGGCAGACUUGAGUACUGCAGGGGAGACUGGAAUUCCUGGUGUAGCGGUGGAAUGCGCAGAUAUCAGGAGGAACACCGAUGGCGAAGGCAGAUCUCUGGGCCGUAACUGACGCUGAGGAGCGAAAGCAUGGGGAGCAAACAGG